CGCCAUCCUGUAGCAAGCCCAGAAUCGAUUCCAAGCAGUGUGACGACGUUUGCUUUCUGAACUCUGCCAGCCAGCGACCUCCCUGCGCAUAUAAAGCCUCAGGACACACAGGUAAGAGGAUCAGCCCAUCUUUGUUAGAUGUGUGUUUUGUUUACAGGGCUGAAGCCCAGUUUCUGGCACAAAGGAAAUACUCUAUAAACACUCUUUUCUACACUGUGGAUCCUAUACACAGUGUAGACAAACAGACUACAUACCAGAUUGCAAGCAGGUACAGGGAAAGUCCCUUUUUAUGCCUGAGAAUUUUCCCUUAGGACAAGACCUACUGAUCACACCUUCUCUGCAUACAGUUCUAGGCCACUAGUCUCUUUCCUUUCUGUUGUCUCCUCCUUGUCACCUUUAUGAUCUUCUAGAGAACAAUUUCUUUUUAUUAGAAAAAGCCCAAGCUUUGUGUCACGUCACUGAGGGGGAACUGGCAUUAAAUAUUGCCAAUACCUGUGAGAUUAAGGCUAAGACAUACCUGCAAAGCCAGGAGCUGACAGGGCAUUGCUCUUUGAAUGCCUCUUCCUCGAUCUCAAUCCUAGGUGGGCCAUCCAGGUACACACAUGCAGUCACACAAUCACACACACAUAUAUACACAGUUAUAAACACAUAUACACACAGUCACAUACACACAUACAUACAUGGAGUUAUAAACACAUAUACACACAGUCACAUACACAGUCACAUAUACAUACACACACACACACACACACACACACACACAAGUCACCUUCUCCUUCAGCAUCUAUUUAUUCAUUCCAGUAGCAUACAAGUGUGUGUCCAACACUGCCCUAGAUACUUAGGCAUCUUUUGGGCACAAAAGCACACAUCUCACCGGCUUCUCAGUCCCCUCAGACUUCGCUUGAAUGCUUUUUUGAGUCCCGGGUGUGUGCAUGUGUGUGCACAUAUAUAUGCAUAUAUGUAUGUGUAACCACACUAGAUAA
rnacentral:lncRNA from 1 species